CCUCGAAGUAAUCCUGCUCAAUGUCUGGUCUCAUCUGUUCUGAGAAGCAGGGUACGGCCUGGUUAGUACUUGGAUGGGAGCCCACAGGGAAUACCAAGUGCCACAAUGG
rnacentral:rRNA from 1 species